rnacentral:lncRNA from 1 species
UUCAAGGUAGAAUUCUUUAUAAAUUCACUAUUAUUUUAUAAUUUAAUGUUAAUUUUUAUAUUAAUAUGAGAUGGUAAAAAAUUUAUGAAAAGAAAUAUUCGAACACGAGAUGUCAAAUGUAUGGGUGUGAAUACUUUUUUGCAAGUGAGAUUAAGUGAACUGCGACUUUUUGGGUGUGGCCCCCACAUAUAGACGUUGUGCGGUGAGAUUAAGUGAAUCGAAAUCCAAGAGAUGCUGCUGCAUAUGCUGAUUAAGGUUGCAGUCACAGACUUACUUUCCCCAAAUCCAGGUGGCUACCCUUCAAUCUUCAACACUUCCAACUAUAUCGUUUGGAGCACGUGAGUCGGCUUUGGUAUUCGUUAACAAUUCAACAUGUCUAGUUGUAUGGUGGAAUAGUAUCAAAGAAAAGUUCUGAAAUUGUCAGCCAAUUGAAAAACAUUGAGUUUUUACUUUAUUGUUUUUUUCUAGGUUAUCAAUGGAAAUGCUUACCUGAACUUGAAGAAUUAAUAAAUAAAUAAAUAAGUUGAAAUAGUCUGUUGUAAGUUAAAAGCAACACAAUUUGAUUUUUAUACUUAAACAUGAUUCGGAUUACAUCUCAUUAUGUUUAUAACCUUGAAAUGACAAUAAUUACUUUAGGAUGAACCCAUACAAUUGUAUCUCUUGCUCCACUAUUGGUCAUUAACAUGUGUGUACAUGAAAAAAAAGAUGAUGUUACACUAUAAAAUCAAUUGGUAAUAUUGGCAGUGACGAAGUCAUAUCGAAGCUAGGAGGGGCUUCUAAGCAGUGUGAAAGAAAUUGGACAUGAUAUAAUAUAAUUAAUGGAGAAAAAGAUUGAUUUUUUAUAUUGGAAUGAAAAAUAAGAGACUAAUGAAGUCACAAAAAAAAUAAAAAAUUGAGAUAGUUAUAUCAUAAGCAUCGAACUUCUUUUUAAGCUCCUACAUUGAAGUUGAACAAAAUUUAAUAUCGUGGCUCAAUACUGCAACUAUGAAAAUUGUCUUUUAGAAUAAAUUCUUCCUCUAUUCCACAUAUGCGUAGUUUCACUGUAAAACAACACUCUAUCAUACAAAAUAGUGAACUAACUUAGGAAGACUAGUUGAUAUAAGGCUUUGGUUUCAUAACAAUACUACUAUAAAACACACAAUAAAGCCAACUAGAAGCAAAAGCACAUAAGUAGAAGAAAGUAGAGUAUCCAACCAAAAACACUCAAAUAGAAGCUACAAAAUGAAAAACUUUAGGGGUAGGCUGGGACCUCACCUGAUCCUCAAGAGCCACUGAUUAUGAUACUCUCAAUAAAUGACAAACUUGACCCUACUUAAUAUUAUAAUGUGUAGAUUGUUAAUUAACAUCACGGAACCAUAUUCCAGUAUCAUAUAAUAAUGAGUAAGGCUAGAGAAACUAAAUUAGUUGACAAAAGUUUAGAAAGUAAAAGACAUGGAAGUUGAUAAUUUGUUUAUUACUUAAACGUUUAUAAACGUGUUCUUUCUUAUUGAUGACACAUUAUUUAGUUUAUAAAUUAUGAUUACAAAUUUAAUCUCUCUAAUAUUACCCUAUAAUAAUUAGUAACUCACAAGUUUCACUUUCACCACCAAAAUCCAAAAAAUGGGAAAGAAAAAUGAAAAACCCUAAAGUAAAAUGAUGAUAUUUUUGUAAGGUUGGUUCCAAACUUCGGAUUUGGAUCCUCUCAUGAGCAGGAGAUCAGGAUC